rnacentral:rRNA from 1 species
UACAGAGGUCUCAAGCGUUGUUCGGAUUCAUUGGGCGUAAAGGGUGCGUAGGUGGCCAACUAAGUCAGACGUGAAAUCCCUCGGCUUAACCGGGGAACUGCGUCUGAUACUGGAUGGCUUGAGUUUGGGAGAGGGACGCGGAAUUCCAGGUGUAGCGGUGAAAUGCGUAGAUAUCAGGAGGAACACCGGUGGCGAAGGCGGGACUCUGGGCCGAUACUGACGCUGAGGAGCGAAAGCGUGGGGAGCGAACAGG